CCUACGGGUGACUGCAGUGAGGAAUAUUGGUCAAUGGGCGCGAGCCUGAACCAGCCAAGUAGCGUGAAGGAUGACUGCCCUACGGGUUGUAAACUUCUUUUAUAAAGGAAUAAAGUGUGGCACGUGUGCAUUUUUGUAUGUCCUUUAUGAAUAAGGCUCGGCUAACUCCGUGCCAGCAGCCGCGGUAAUACGGAGGAUCCGAGCGUUCUCCUGAUUUAUUGGGUUUAAAGGGAGCGUAGAUGGGUUGUUAAGUCAGUUGUGAAAGUUUUGGGCUCAACCGUAAAAUUGCAAUUGAUACUGGCAGUCGUGAGUACAGUAGAGGUAGGCGGAAUUCGUGGUGUAGCGGUGAAAUGCUUAGAUAUCACGAAGAACACCGAUGGCGAAGGCAGCUUACUAAACAGCAACUGACAUUGAGGCGCGAAAGUGUGGGUAUCAAACAGGAUUAGAUACCCCAGUAGUG
rnacentral:rRNA from 1 species